ensembl:lncRNA
CAAUAAGACAUUGUGCAAAGGGCAGGGUGUGACUUCCCCCACACAAGACACUAGCUCCAGCUUGCUCUCUCUGGGACACUUUGUAGGACACUCUGUGGCAAGACCGAUGAUAGGGACUUGAGGGCCCCUGCUGUUGACCAGGGUUAAUACACCAGUCACACUUGCCAACUUGGAAGCAGAGCCUCCAGCCCUCUUCAAGCCUUCUAUGACAUCCUGACUGCAGUCUCAUGGGAGACCCCCAAACCAGAACCACCUAUCCAGCUGCCGCUGAACUCCUGACCCACGGAAACUGGCUCUGGGAUGGCAGCUCCCUCAGCACCUAGAUCUGUGCCUACUUGGCCCUCCGCAGGGACUCAGGAACCUGAGGGUGAGCUUUGCUGGUCUCGGUCACAGCGAGCAAACUCCAGAAUCUUCUUGGCCUCAUCCACACAUAUGACAUUGGAAGCCUUUAGGAGCUCAAGACUUUAGGAGCCUUCCUCUCAGGGGGUGCGGAGCCUCAAGUGCGACCACUUCAGAGCACCCACUCUUGGAGGUGGGCCCACCGUGGUUCAGUGGAGGUGCCACCACCACCAUGAAGCCUUCCUAUAUUCCCCCCAGGAUACCGAGCCCUCAGCAGGGUUAACCCCUCCCUGCCCAGGCUCCUCUGCUGACUGCUGGACUCAGUCGAUGGUACCUGGUUGGGCUGGGCUUCUGUUCAGAUGAAUGUAAAGCAAGUGAAGCUGAAGCUUUGGGGACCCUCACUGGCACGACCCCCUUCCAAAGCCAGUCCCUAAUUUUGUAUUCAUGAUCCCCUCAAAUUGUAUACACUUGGGUCCCACAGAGUUGGGUCCACUCCCGUUUUCAUCCCCACCCAGCUUGAGGUCAGAGCCUCUCUCCUGAACAGUUAUGGCAGGCAAUUUCUCCUCCCCUUCCACCUCCCCUAGGCCCCGGUUGGUCUGGCACCUGGGCCAGAUGGACCCAGAGACAAGGUUUCUGCAUCCACCUGCCCCACUUGGGGUCUCUGUGACCUCUGCUGUCCCCUCUUGGGUGACCAGCCCAGGCCUGCUCUCUGGCUCCCAGGUCACUCAUCUGAAACAAAAUUGGACUUCCUCUCUCCCUCUCUUCCCUCCCCAUCCUCCAUACCUGCCCUAGGGGCCUCCCAGGAACGUUGUGGG